rnacentral:lncRNA from 1 species
GUCUGCCUACCGGAAGGCAGGAAUGCCCUCUUUGUUGCUGGGUGGGGGCCUUUGGACUCAGAAUGGAGAGUGUGUGUUGAUUUAUUUUUGAGUACGCCAAAAAGGUUACAGUGAAGACAACUCUUAAAACGUGGGCACAGCAGUGUAGAAAGUCAAUUAGGAAAGGGUAGGUAUAUGAGAAAUAGGGGAAGGCUGGGGACUAAUCAGAGAAAACAUGUCAAAUGGAGAAACAGAUUCUCAAUCCAGUCUAAGGAUUUAACUUGUAGCUUGGCCUUUCAGGCUUUAAACUGUCCUUGGCUUGGAGGUGGAGUUUCACUGGGGACCCUUCCCCAUCCGCCUAAGCAUUUGGCUGCCUCCUGUCGCUCUCACGUUUUCAAAUGAGAUAAAAGCUUUCAUGUUCUUAAGUUGAUGGAAAUGAUUCUGUCUGUGACCAAUCAGAGGCUGAAGUGGAGACCCCGCCCGCAGUCAAUCAGAGGCUGAAGUGGCUUGUUAUCUUGGGAGCGAGGACGAGGCCUAUUUGCUGCACUUGCUGCUCUCCUGCCUAUACGACCUGGCUGCACCUGCUGUUCUUUUGCUUAUGCGAACUGGCUUCACCUGCUGUUCUCUUGCUUCUGCGAACUGGCUGCACCUGCUGUUCUCCUGCUCAUGCUUUAACCCCUGCUCACCCCAGUUCCCUAUUCUCCUACCUAGUUUCCCCUUGAGAGAAUUAAUUUAAAUUUAAACUCGGUAACCCUAACCAACUUUCAAGUGCUCAGUAGUCACAUGUGGCUAUGAGUACCAUGUUGGGUAACAGAGAUAUAGAACAUUACCAUCUUUACAGAAACUUCUGUCAGACAUCAGAGGUUAAUCUCUGUUCAUUUGCCUGGAAGGUUUUUCAUAUUACAGGUCAAAGAAAAUUCUUUGAAUCAGAUAGAUAGUAUGCAUAUAUUGUAAGUAACAGAUAAC